rnacentral:rRNA from 1 species
CGCGUGAGUGAAGAAGGCCUUCGGGUUGUAAAGCUCUUUCGGCGGGGAAGAAAUCGCAUUCUCUAAUACAGGAUGUGGAUGACGGUACCCGAAUAAGAAGCACCGGCUAACUACGUGCCAGCAGCCGCGGUAAUACGUAGGGUGCGAGCGUUAAUCGGAAUUACUGGGCGUAAAGCGUGCGCAGGCGGUUUCGUAAGACAGACGUGAAAUCCCCGGGCUCAACCUGGGAACUGCGUUUGUGACUGCGAGGCUAGAGUUUGGCAGAGGGGGGUGGAAUUCCACGUGUAGCAGUGAAAUGCGUAGAGAUGUGGAGGAACACCGAUGGCGAAGGCAGCCCCCUGGGCCAAUACUGACGCUCAUGCACGAAAGCGUGGGGAGCAAACAGGAUUAGAUACCCUGGUAGUCCACGCCCUAAACGAUGUCAACUAGGUGUUGGGAGGGUUAAACCUCUUAGUGCCGUAGCUAACGCGUGAAGUUGACCGCCUGGGGAGUACGGCCGCAAGGC